rnacentral:rRNA from 2 species
AAAUUGAAGAGUUUGAUCAUGGCUCAGAUUGAACGCUGGCGGCAGGCCUAACACAUGCAAGUCGAACGGUAACAGGAAGCAGCUUGCUGCUUUGUUGACGAGUGGCGGAC